CCCCCCCCAAAAAAAAAAAGUGUACGAAAGAAAAUCACGCUUUGAAUCAAGUAGAGGACAAAGUGUAGGACUUUUUGAUGAUUUCCUAUGACUGAGAAGCGAGGCAUAGAGAGUUACGAUAGAUUGAUAUUUUUAAGUCCCUCACCUUGCGACGUGCCCCAGGUAACAGCCUAAACAACAUUCUUUUAAAGUAUGCACCUUCCAAAGAAAGAGUUUUAAUGAAACGUACCAUCAAACCCUAGUGUUAUUAUAUUCACCUGUAAAAGUUGAUUCAGAUUGGAU